rnacentral:rRNA from 1 species
GUAGGUGGCAAGCGUUGUCCGGAAUUAUUGGGCGUAAAGCGCGCGCAGGCGGUUCUUUAAGUCUGAUGUGAAAGCCCACGGCUCAACCGUGGAGGGUCAUUGGAGACUGGAGAACUUGAGUACAGAAGAGGAAAGCGGAAUUCCACGUGUAGCGGUGAAAUGCGUAGAGAUGUGGAGGAACACCAGUGGCGAAGGCGGCUUUCUGGUCUGUGACUGACGCUGAGGCGCGAAAGCGUGGGGGAGCAAACAGGAUUAGAUACCCUGGUAGUCCACGCCGUAAACGAUGAGUGCUAAGUGUUAGGGGGUUUCCGCCCCUUAGUGCUGCAGCUAACGCAUUAAGCACUCCGCCUGGGAGUACGGCCGCAAGGCUG